rnacentral:lncRNA from 1 species
CUCUAUGUCAAUUGGUUUCGGUGCAGGAUUUUUUUGGGUGUUUGCAGUGAUUCUGUGGUGUUUGCACUUUUUUUCUAGGCCUAACGUAGGGGGAGAACGUGGGUGGUUAACAUACAUGGGUGGCUAACAUAGGGGGAGUACGUGGGUGGCUGACGUACGUGGGUGGCUAACGUACCUGGGUGGCUAACGUAGGGGGAGUACCUGGGUGGCCAACGCCAAAGACGUCUUGUUGGCAUAAACGGAUGGAAUCUACUAAAAUGACCACUCCCUAUUGUCUCUUAAAUAAAUAUUUCAUAUUUAUUUCCCUCGGAUCCUCUCACUCCCUCUCUCUUUCUUCCUCUCCAUCUCUCCGUCUCUCGCCUGUGGAGAUGUGUUAUGUUUUUCUGGGGCAACCCAGAUGUGACCCAUACUCUCUGGCCUGGUGUGAACUGGAAAACUGGCACAUGGGUUCCCUAAGUCCCUCUGGUAUGGUGGUUCUGCUCUCUCGUCACUAUCAGCGCCGCCAUCAGGGUCUCAGGGCUGGCGGCUGCUUCAACACAGCAUAAAUCGCAUAGUGUUGGCGGUGUGGACAGGCCACGGAUGUAGAAAGCCUGGGCUGAGGAAUGUGUGUGUGUCUGUGUGUGUGUGUGUGUGACUGCGUGUGUGUGUGUGUGACUGUGUGUGACUGCGUGUGUGUGACUGUGUGUGUGUGUGUGUGACUGCGUGUGUAUGUGUGAUUGCGUGUGUGUGUGACUGCAUGUGUGUGUGACUGUGUGUAUGUGUGUGUGUGUGUGUGUGUGUGCGUGUGUGUGUGACUGCAUGUGUGUGUGACUGCAUGUGUGUGUAUGUGACUGCGUGUGUGUGUGUGACUUCAUGUGUGUGUGUGACUGUGUGUGUGUGUGACUACGUGUGUGACUGUGUGUGAGGAAUGGGGAACACUCACUGUCUGACUUGUUCGCCUUCUCUCUCCUCAGCCCCUGAAAUCCUCCACCUUCCCUUCCCAUCGAUCCCAAAUGGCAACCGUGGGAGACUACAGCCAAGUCAGGGAGAAUUAGUUUCUCACAGGGGGACUGUCUUUGCAUUGGCUCGUUGUCAACCGUGGCAGAUGGCUCCAAAUCCUAAAUGUAUGAAGAUGAGCUCAGCUCUUCCUCAUCUUCCUCUCUUCUUCUCAAGUAAGUUAGGGGGCGAAGCUAUGGCUUACCCUUAAAAUACCUCAUUACAUUUAUUUAACCCCUUAAAAAUGUAGCUCAUAGCCUUCUGAUAGCUUUACAAAUGGACAAUGUCGCUAAGAUAUUUUGUGUCCAUUUUGUGUUUUUGUGACAUUUGAUGGGCGUGGCUUACAACGAGCAUGCAACAGGCCUAUGAUGUGUUGACUUCGGUCUUAACGACGUUAAGGACAACAGCCUAUGAUGUGUUGACUUCGGUCUUAACGACGUUAAGGACAACAGGCCUAUGAUGUGUUGACUUCGGUCUUAACGACGUUAAGGACAACAGGCCUAUGAUGUGUUGACUUCGGUCUUAACGACGUUAAGGAUCCGCCAAGUUAUCAGGAUCACAGAGGUUUCAUCAGUAAUGGGACAACAAAGAGCAUCACUGUUCUCUUUACCAACAGCUCAAUUGUCUUUCUACCCCGCCUUGUGUCGCACUAUCCCCUCAAACAUUUAUGAUAAUCCCUGUAACUCUCCCUACAAUACCCUCAGACUAUCUCUCUCUCUCUCUCUCUCUCUCUCUCUCCAUCCAUCUCUCUCUCUUUCUUUUUUCUACCGUUCACUCUCUCCCUCACACAAUAGGUCCCCUCAGCUCUGGCCUCGUUUGAUGUGUUACCGAAAGGAGGAGCCCCCUCACUCACCUUCUGUCUCUCUUUUUCUUCCCCCGUCCACAUACCCUCUUUUUUUUUAUUUCUCCUCCUCGUCUCACUCGCCACUUCCUCUCUAAGCUGUGCCCCUGGUGCCCUUUUGGUCCAAUGACAUAGUCCUCCCUCUGCUCCGUCGCCACCUCCUACUCAGCCAGUCACACACACACUCACACAUUUACACACCUACACACACACACACACACACACACACACACACACACACACACACACACACACACACACACACACACACACACACACACACACACACACACACACACACAGAAU